rnacentral:rRNA from 1 species
GAACGCACAGCGAAAGGNGCUUGCACCUUUCAAGUGAGUGGCGAACGGGUGAGUAACACGUGGACAACCUACCUCAAGGCUGGGGAUAACAUUUGGAAACAGAUGCUAAUACCGAAUAAAACUUAGUGUCGCAUGACACAAAGUUAAAAGGCGCUUCGGCGUCACCUAGAGAUGGAUCCGCGGUGCAUUAGUUAGUUGGUGGGGUAAAGGCCUACCAAGACAAUGAUGCAUAGCCGAGUUGAGAGACUGAUCGGCCACAUUGGGACUGAGACACGGCCCAAACUCCUACGGGAGGCUGCAGUAGGGAAUCUUCCACAAUGGGCGAAAGCCUGAUGGAGCAACGCCGCGUGUGUGAUGAAGGCUUUCGGGUCGUAAAGCACUGUUGUAUGGGAAGAACAGCUAGAAUAGGAAAUGAUUUUAGUUUGACGGUACCAUACCAGAAAGGGACGGCUAAAUACGUGCCAGCAGCCGCGGUAAUACGUAUGUCCCGAGCGUUAUCCGGAUUUAUUGGGCGUAAAGCGAGCGCAGACGGUUUAUUAAGUCUGAUGUGAAAGCCCGGAGCUCAACUCCGGAAUGGCAUUGGAAACUGGUUAACUUGAGUGCAGUANAGGUAAGUGGAACUCCAUGUGUAGCGGUGGAAUGCGUAGAUAUAUGGAAGAACACCAGUGGCGAANGCGGCUUACUGGACUGCAACUGACGUUGAGGCUCGAAAGUGUGGGUAGCAAACAGGAUUAGAUACCCUGGUAGUCCACACCGUANCGAUGAACACUNNUGUUANGAGGUUUCCGCCUCUUANGCCGAAGCUAACGCAUUAAGUGUUCCGCCUGGGGAGUACGACCNCAAGGU